CCCACCGCUUACAAACGACAACGAAAGAGACGAUGGCGCACUAACCCGCGCCUCCUUCCACCUCCCCCAGCUCAUCUUCUCGCCGUCUGCUUUGGAGGAUUCUCCUGUCGCGCGCCACCGUGGUCGGGCUGCGGCCACCACCAGAGGUCUGCCACCGGCAGGAGCUCCCUCCUUAUCCACUAUGAGGCACCAACGGAGGGGGACAACUCCUCCUUCCAUCCCUAUCCGCGGCGUCCAACCUCUAAUGCCGCUUGAAACCCUAGACCGAAUCCGGCAGAGUUGAAGGAAGGGGGCGGUCCAUGGAGAAGCUGCAAGGUGUGGGCCUGAAGCCAUGGAUGGAUGUGGUUGGUAUGAGGAUUGCAGAUGGCGAGGAGGCACCGAACCGAGCGGCGGGCAAGGACGAGGUGAAGCUGCGUGCACGUCGUACUAUCCCUUCUCCGCCUGCUGUUACUGGAAGCAAGCACAGUACAAUAUCAUCUCAUCCACGAGGUCAGAUGCUAAUCAUAGUUUAAGACUUUGGUCCGUCAAGUCAAGCAAAACUAGUACGUACGUAGUGACAUGUGAUUCUUCGGCCAAGUCAAGCAAGACACAUCUACACUCACUCUAAGUGACUCUGCUCUCCCCGUCCGGCGCUCGCAUCUGCCACCUACUGCUCAGCCUCGCCAGCCAACCACGUAGAGUUUCAUCCUGCACUAUAUUUCAUUCUCAAUUGUUGUUAGUGCUUAGGUAGUACUAGUAGUAGCAUCACAAGUACAAGAAGGGUUUCAGAUUUCUCACUUGUGCAAAGAAUAAGUUCAGUCAAUCUAAUAUUCAUACUUACACUGUAAAUCCCUAUGUACUUAAAGUGAAUUCCCUUUGUAAUGGUAAUGUUUACAAUGUAAAAUUCCAGUGUAAGAUAGACUAAUAAAAGACAGAAACUACAGUCCAAAUCAUUGUAACUUAAUUAAAAAUAUUUAGACUGAAAAUAUGCACUGUAAUUUAAUGUGCAUUUUUGCCCAGUAAUGUGUAUUCCUUCUCUUUUUGGUUGCCUGAAUUUAAAGUGGUUUUGCACUGUAAUUUUUAGUAAUGUGUCACUUCUAGCUUACCUAAAUAUUUUUGUAUUCUUAUCAGUUUUGUGCCCCAUUCUAAAGAAGUUCAGUAAAUGUGUACGUCCCAUCGUGAUACAACAAUCUGAUCUUUGUUUUAUUUUUCACAAGAAUCUAUUUUUUGCUUACAUGAAGGGAUGCAUGUUCUUCAUCUUGCAGGGACUCAGGGCAAUGGAGAAAAUCUAGAUGCCAAGUUGACUUUUUUCCUGCGGAUUUUCUUAUCGUGAAGAUGCACAAAGCAUUAAUAGCUCAAGCAUUGGAUGUUGGCAAAAUAGAAGUUCCUUCACCAAAGGAAGAAAGUAGUUCCACUGAUUCGGAAGCGACUAGAGAUAUUGAAAACUUUGAAACUAGUGGCGAUGACGACAAUGAUUGUAAUCACAAGCACCGAAGACCACUACCACGUACUUGCACUACAGUAUCAUCUCAAUCACAACAUUGAAAUAGUAUGAUCUAUUACUUCACAUUUUCUGUAUC